CUCAGACAGCACAAGCUAAAGAUGGGCGAUUAUGAAUUAGAACAUUUAUUUGAAAACAUGGACAACAACCAGCCGCCAAGCAGGAGCACAGCCGCACAGCAGCAGGACUCCCGCCCUCCUGUGAGUGCUGCUGGCAAGGCCUCUUCAUGGAGAAAGCCUCCACUGCUCCUCCUCCUAAUCCUGUGCUGUCUCUUACUGGCUGCUGCCAUCACCUCCCUGGCUGUCUAUUGUGAGUACAACACACUGCUGUUUGUCUGCAGGGUUUCAACUGAUUUAAAGUUAAUGUUUAAAUUGUUCAAUUAAAUAGUAAAGUGUGACGUUCAGCUUUUUUCUCACUUGAAUACAUUUUGACGUCCAUGAAAGUGUUUUAAACAUCUUCAAUGACAUCAUAGGACACCAUUAUGAAUGAAAAGCUUUUAUUAUCAUUAAUGGACUUGUGAAAGUAGCAUUCAGAUCCCAGUGUUUUGUAAGCAGUCUAUGAGGUGCAGGCAGCGAAUAUCACUGUGUUUCAGAUCCGAUUUACCAGCUUUAAACUUGUACAGAACAUGCUGGUUGAGUGCAAUUGACUGAACUAUAAUUUGCAAUUGUUGUUUUCUUUUGUUUUUUUUUACUAUUUGCUUGUUUGCUUUUCUCAGACUCUAGAACUAUAGAAGACCCUGGGAAAUAUACCAGGCUGUCCACAAAUUAUUCAUCAUUGCUGAAUCAACUCCUGUGAAAUCGGAAAUCCUGAAUAAAUACUGCCCUCUCAAAGAAGUCUUUUCAAUGGGUGUUGUGAAUUAUGUACAAUCUUAUUGGACCAGUUUAGAGUGCUUUUUCUCACGAGAAUCAGCAUUGCGCGGGCAGCAGUGUGGAGUAGUGGUUAGGGCUCUGGACUCUUGACCGGAGGGUUGUGGGUUCAAUCCCCAGUGGGGGACACUGCUGUUGUACCCUUGAGCAAGGUACUUUACCUAGAUUGCUCCAGUAAAAACCCAACUGUAUAAAUGGGUAAUUGUAUGUAAAAAUAAUGUAAUAUCUGUAUAAUGUGAAAUAAUGUAUAAUGUGAUAUGUUGUAACAAUUGUAAGUCGCCCUGGAUAAGGGUGUCUGCUAAGAAAUAAAUAUAAUAAUUGGCUGGAAAAAUCUCAUAAAAAACUUGUGAGAAAAAGGCACUUAUGUAAACUGACCCAUUGCUAUUAUUACCACCAUCAAUAAGAUAUUGAAAUGACAAGGACAUAAGAGAUAUAACUCUAACUCUAAUAUAACUAUCUAUCUGAUUAAAAAAGCAAACCCUGCUCUAUUCAUUAAUUGGACAGGAGAGGAGAUGCUGUCUUGCUAUGUUGGAGGGGCUGCCCUGUUUCUUCUGAUCCCUAGUUUCCCACUGCUUCUCUCUCUCAUUCUGCAGAGCGAGUUUGUAAACUCUGCCAACAGGACUGGGAGCUGUUCAAUGGAAAGUGCUACUUCAUCUCAACUGAUAAAAUGAACUGGAUCUCCAGCCGUGAUAACUGCACGUCAAUGGGAGCAGACCUGGUGAUUAUAGAGAGAGAGCAGCACUUCUUAUACAAUAAAAUCAAGGCUACUAAGAAUUUCUACUGGAUUGGUCUGACUGACUUGGUUAAGGAAGGAGUCUGGCUCUGGGUGGACGGCACUCCUCUCAAUGACAAUGUGAAAUACUGGUACACAGGAGUGGCUGAUGACUGGACUGGGGAAGACCCAACUGGGGAGGAUUGUGCUGUUCUUCAUGACUUGGACGUUUCCUCUAAAUCUUGGUCUGAUCUAGCGUGCACAGUGCAAAAACACGGAAGAAUUUGUGAAACCAAUGCAGUGUCAAUCAAUAUCUAAACCAAUGUGGGUCUGUUUCCAUUUCUCUCUCUCUAUUUAGAUGUGCAAACAAGCCAAAAAAGGAAAAACAAAUCAUAUAAAGAUACAUAUUUGAAAUGAAACCAAUGCUUUUAUCAAGAAAAUGUAGAUUCAAAUGUCACUUUGAGUUUGGGUUUACAUUUCUGUACUAUUCAGACCUCUUUCCUUUCUUUCCUACUAAGUAUAUUAGAAGCAUAGGCUAGAAUUCAAGCGAGAGAACAAAACACAUGGCGUCUCGCCACCCUAUAUAUUUAAAUAAAUAAUAACAUGGCCAUGCCGUCAUAUUUACACAUAAAUCAUAAAACACAAAUCAUAAUGCAGGGGUGAAGGGCUAUCCCCUUCUAAAAAUAAACAAAUACAUUUGAUUUUAAAUAACAAAACUAAACUAAACAAAUACAUUUAUGGAAGGGCUUUGCCCUGCCACUUUCCAUGGGCAGGGCUCCUCGCCCUGUCACGUGGACAAAGGGGUUCCCUGGGACCAGGAUUGAGAACCACUCUUCUGAGGCAUAUAUUAGGCUGUUUUCAGAGAACUUUUGAAUCCUCAGCAACCCACGGACCUGCCCAGUGGUGGUGACUACCUAUGUUGUCUGAAGUGGACCCACCUCCUGUACCAGUUAAGCAGUGUGUGCUGGAAAGCCUUGUCAAAACAUGGGUGAAGUAAGAGCGCAGUGGCACUGCACGAAAAUAAUGGUUUACAAACUUACUACAUUUGUAAACCAUUUGUAAACCUUAGGUUUGCAGGGGUUUACAAUGUCAUGGUAAACCAUUUUGUAAACUGUUUGCAUUAAGUUUACACAUACUUAUGUGAGUAAAUGUUAUGUUUACAGUGGCAUUACUAUUGACAGUAAUUCAUUGUGACGAUUUUUUAUCACUAUACCAUAAAAAGUGUUCAUCGACAUUACAUGCAUUGCCCAUGGUAUGCUCAGCAAAAUCAACAAGUCAUGGAAGGCAUGACCUGUCCAUCAUGCUGAACGCUCUAUGGGCAAACACAUGAAAUGUUCUAUGGCCCGGGCUCACUCCUUCUCAUCUCUUGUCCCUCAUUUAUGGUAUCAGCUGCCCAUAAGCAUCAGGACAAUGCCGUGUUUCACCACCUUCCGGUGUCUCCUCAAUACCCACCUUGGAUGGCUUAACAACUUCUCUUCCAUUACAUUAACUGAUUUUACUUGGCUCUGUUGUUUCCUGAAGUGAUUCAGUUUGUUAAGCUAUAAGGAUUGUUACUUUGUAUCUUUGGGCCACAUUAAAACAAAACUUUGACCCACACACUAAUAGCAAACUACAAACCUGUAUAUGAUGGCGUUUGUUCUUAGGAGUAGAGGAGUCAUCUGACAAAAAACAAAACGGUCACUGCGUAAAGGUUUGUAGCUAUUAGCAGGUGGGCCAAAGUUGUGUUAUGACACUUUGUGUAAUGUUGUAUGUUUAACUACUUUAUUUUAACAAUAAAAUAUUAAUUUUGAAAUGAAUAAUAAGGGUGAAAAGACGUGUCAAUUUAAAAUUACCAUUUUAUAACAAACAGAUCAGAAAGCCUGCAAAAAAUUAUUUAUAUGUUAAAAAGUAAUGUUUAUUUAUAAUAUAAAUAUCAAAUUACGGUCGCAAACAACAUCAGCUUAAUUUUGAUAAGUCUCUUUCUCAACUUCAGUUACACACAAAUUUUUUUUUUAUUAUAAUUAAUGAUUUUAAAAAUCUAAUUAUGAUACACAGAAAAAAAGGGAACAUGAAUGAAUCUCUUGCAUAGUAUGACAGAUGUGCAUCGACACAUGCUCCUGAUUCACAGAAAAGGAAACAAAAGAUGUGUAUAGAAGGCGAGUCACAGAAAUAGUUGGUAGACCAGAGAUGUAUACUUACAAUAACAUAACCAUAACAAAAUGUUUAUAAAGUCUCAAAAUUGUAAUGGAAGGAAAACAAUAAUCUAAUAAAUUGUAAUUAGUGCAGUAUAUACAUACAAAUUAAUAAUGCAUUAUACAAUGCUAAGCUUUUGUAGCUUUUUCCAUUAUCCAGUGUUUCACCUGGUUUGUAAGCAUUAAAACUAUUUUACUACAAUGUUUCAUUAAUAUCCAGUGAAAUGAUCCAUAUGAUUUCUCUUCUAAAGUGGAGCAAUGAAAAAAAGAAGCCAAGUUAGAAGCAACAAUUGUGUGAAUGUUGGGCCCCAGCACCUUUCCAAUUGUGCCUAUUUGCUUGAUGCUUGACCAGGUUGCCCCAAUUGCUUCUCCUAACUUGGGCUUUUGUGUUUGAUAUCACCCCUUUAAACGGCUGUUGUGUUUUUCUAUCUUCUUUUUUUUUACAUUGACAAUUUUUGUUAUAGAUAUAUUAUUAUUGUGAUUACACUGCCAUACAAAUACAUUUACAGGCUGAUUUAAUACCAGUAUGAAUGUGGUGCUAAUAUGUUUAUCUCAUAUUAACAUUGUAUUUACAAUGUCUUUAGAAAUGUAUUCAUAUUGUGAUAAAUUGGCAUUUUAAUUGUGAUUAAGGUAUA